rfam:Triticum aestivum genome assembly, contig: Triticum_aestivum_CS42_TGACv1_scaffold_158250_2DL
UAUGUACUCCCUCUGUCCGAAAUUACUUGUCGAAGAAAUAGAUGUUUCUAGACGUAUUUUAGUCCUAGAUACAUCCAUUUCUGCGACAAGUAAUUCCGGACGAAGGGAGUGUUCA